rnacentral:lncRNA from 1 species
UAGUCACCUCUUGGCAUAUUUACAACCAUAUUUCUAAAUAAGCGAUUUUUUAUAAAGUAUUGGUUUUCUUUCUGAUUAUAACCUUUAACUGAGGGGUGAAGAUAUAAUGUUCUUACUUAUUUCUCCAAUUCACACACAUACAUUCUGUCCUGAUUGUCUCAUAUAUAAUUUCUACUUUAAUCUCUAUUCAGCUAAAAUUUGUUUAUUUAUAUUUUAUUUUAUUUUAUUUACUUUACUUAUUUUCAAGAUGGAGUUUCACCAUCACCCAUGCUGGAGAUCAAUGGCACAAUUUUGGCUGACUGCAACCUCUGUCUCCCAGUAGAGAAGGUGUUCUAUCAUGAUGGCCAGGCUGAUCCCAAACUGCUGGCCUCAAGUGAUCCAACUGUCUCAGCCUCCCGAACAUGAAAUUACACUUGUGAUCCACAGUGUCCAGCCAAAAUUUGUUUAUUUUUAACACAGAAUAAAAUAGUGGCUCUGGAACCAACCAAAAAGUAAAUAAGUAAAAUGCACUCAAGAGAUAUGCUUAAAGCAAAUUGGAUACAGCAGAAGAGAUUCGUGAAUAUUAACUAGGUCAGUAAAAAAAAUAUCGUGCUAAUGAGUGAGGAGAAGAAAAGGUGGUAAUACAGGAAAAACAAUAAGAGAGCAAUAGAGCACAGAGAAAAGUCAAACAUGUAACUGAAGUCUGAGAAGGAAAGAGUGGGGUGGAUACUAUACUGGCUGAGAACUUUCCAAAACCAAUAAAGACAUGAAGCCACAUAUGCAGGAAGUUCUUUAAACUCCAAGCAGGAUAUGUGCAAGAAAAUCCACAUGAAAGCAGUCAUCAUUACAUUUCUAAAACCCAAAGAGAAAAUAUUAAAAGCAGACAGGCUCCCUCUCCUUCACACACACAUACACCUUUGAAAGAAACAUUUUGCCUGACAGACGGCUUGUCAACAAAAAUUUUAAAAGCUAGUGCAAAUUACAGUCAUUGGUAUCAGCUUUGGUGCACUAAAAGAAAAUAUCUAUUCACUAAAUUCUGAACACAGGAAUCAUGCAUACUAAAAAGAAAACGGAGCAAUUUUUACUUCUAUGUUACUAGGUUAGCGCAAAAGUAAUUGCAGUAUUUGCCAUUGAAAGUAAUGGAGGUAGGGCACAGUGGCUUAUGCCUGUAAUCUCAGCGCUUUGGGAGGCCGAAACAGGUGGAUCACUUGAGAGUUCCGAAGUUUGUGACCGGUCUGGCUAACAUACGGAGACCCUG